CUUUACUAUUGUUAUAUUAAGAGAAGUUCAAAAAGAGUUCCUCUCCCAUUGUAGUCCCAGAUAAGACUGUGGUAUUGGGCAGGGGGAAGAAGUGGGUAAGAGAUAGAAACUCUGACUUCUCAGCGCAGAGUUCCAGCUAAAGCAACUGGGUUAGAUUCUGCUGCAUUCUUAAGGGGCCAUGGCUCUAAGACCUAGAAGCUUAAAGUCAAUUGCUACAAAUUAAGCACUCUAUGAGAGGAUAACAUUAAAAGCACCUUUGUCAACCUAAUGAUUAUAACUGCCAGGGUCCUAUCAAGCCAUAAUAGAGCCUGAGGCAAAAGAAACAAUCAGCAAUACUGAUCCUGUCUUUAUGAAAAAUUUCGAUAUUUUGUUCAACAUAGAUUUUUGCAUUAAUUUUCAUUUUUAAAAAUAUUUCAUGUAAACAUUAUCUUGAUUACUGAGUUCCUUGGGACCCCCUUAACAUUUAUGCCUUCCUUGCUUCACCCGAGUCUUGACCUGAUAACUGCCACCAUUUAUUAAGUGUGAUAUGCUAGGCAUGGUACUAAGUGACUUACAUACAUUGUCUUAUGCCUCUUCACAAGCUCCAUUUUACAGAUGACAAAACCAGAUCUUUCAGAGAUUAAAUAAAUGGUCCGAGUACAUAGCUAAUGAGUGGAUGAAUGGUUAACAUUGGAUUUGAACACAGAUCCAUCAAUCACUAAAACCAAACUUAUUCUUUUUUUUUUUGAAACUGAGUCUUGCUCUGUUGCCCAGGCUGGAGUGCAGUGGUGGCAUCUCAGCUCACUGCAACCUCCACCUUUUGGGUUCAAGUGAUUAUCCUGCCUCAGCCUCCCGAGUAGCUGGGACUACAGGCACAUGCCACCACGCUCAGCUAAUUUUUUGUAUUUUUUUAGUAGAGACAGGGUUUCACCAUGUUAGCCAGGAUGGUCUUGAUCUCCUUACUUUGUGAUCCACCUGCCUCAGCCUCCCAAAGUGCUGGGAUUACAGGCCUGAGCCACCGCGCCAGGCCUACCAAACUCAUUCUUCAACCAUCAUGCCCUGCACUGUAUCAGGAAUUCACAACAUAAAUUCAUUCAUUCAACACAUAUUUAUGAGAGCAUAUUAUGCAUCACGUUGUACUAAGGAUUAAAACGUUGAAAUUCAUACAUACAAGGAUUCAUUCAUUCAUAUGUGCAUUCAACAAGCAGUAAUGAGCAGGCACCAUGUGUCAAGCACUAUGCUACAUGCUGAGGAUACAGAAGUGAACAAGACAGACAGCUACCACGGGAAUGAACAGAGAAGGGACAGGUGACAAGCAAAUGAAUGAAAGUUUAUUUACUAAGAGGUCAUUCAGAAGAGAUCAUGAAUUCAUGGAAAAUUAU
rnacentral:lncRNA from 10 species